AUUGAACGCUGGCGGCAGGCCUAACACAUGCAAGUCGAACGAGUGGCGGAAGGGUGAGGAAUGUCUGGGAAACUGCCCGAUGGAGGGGGAUAACUACGGGAAACGGGAGCUAAUACCGCAUACCAUCGGAGGUGCCCAGAUGGGAGUAGCGAGUAGGUGGGGUAACGGCUAACCUAGGCGACGAUCCCUAGCUGGGCUGAGAGGAUGACCGGCCCCACUGGAACUGAGACACGGUCCAGACUCCUACGUGAGGCAGCAGUGGGGAAUAUUGCACAAUGGGCGCAAGCCUGAUGCAGCCAUGCCGCGUGUAUGAAGAAGGCCUUCGGGUUGUAAAGUACUUUCAGCGAGGAGGCGUUACUCGCAGAAGAAGCAUCGGCUAACUCCGUGCCAGCAGCCGCGGUAAUUC
rnacentral:rRNA from 1 species